rnacentral:rRNA from 1 species
UACGUAGGGGGCAAGCGUUGUCCGGAAUUAUUGGGCGUAAAGCGCGUGUAGGCGGCCAGAAAAGUCCGCUGUGAAAACUCGAGGCUCAACUUCGAGCUGUCGGUGGAAACUUUCUGGCUAGAGUCCGGAAGAGGAGAAUGGAAUUCCUGGUGUAGCGGUGAAAUGCGCAGAUAUCAGGAAGAACACCCGUGGCGAAGGCGGUUCUCUGGGACGGUACUGACGCUGAGACGCGAAAGCGUGGGGAGCGAUCCGG